rnacentral:lncRNA from 1 species
CCCCAAACUAAAAUUUUAUACAUGAACUGGGUGAUUAAUUAUCUUUACUUUUACAUACGAAUACAAUUUAAAAAAAAUUAGAACCACAACCACAAACAACAACACAUUUAACAAUAUCUGAUCAGCACUACAAAUAUAACAUCAUAGCCAAGUACAUUAAUUGUGGAUAGCAAAGUACCCUGACACGUCUUACGGAAAUCAAACUCAACAAAAC